GAUGCUCCAAGUAAGGAGAUUGCUAGUAAAGUGGGUGGAAUGGCGAACCCGAGCACAAGGAGAUGAGAAAUGAGGACAAAUUGCAACCUGUACGGAACAGGAGGUUAAAGGUGCUGAUGCUCCAAGUAAGGAGAUUGCUAGUAAAGUGGGUGGAAUGGCGAACCCGAGCACAAGGAGAUGAGAAAUGAGGACAAAUUGCAACCUGUACGGAACAGGAGGUUAAAGGUGCUGAUGCUCCAAGUAGGGAGAUUGCUAGUAAAGUGGCUGGAAUGGCGAACCCGAGCACAAGGAGAUGAGAAAUGAGGACAAAUUGCAACCUGUACGGAACAGGAGGUUAAAGGUGCUGAUGCUCCAAGUAGGGAGAUUGCUAGUAAAGUGGCUGGAAUGGCGAACCCGAGCACAAGGAGAUGAGAAAUGAGGUGCGUUUUAGAAACCUUUCCCCAUCACACGGUGUACCAUCUUCUGGGUUUCUCAUGCAUGUUUUCGAUGUAGGAAGAUGCCCUUGAACCUGGAGAUUUGGGACCCAUGGGAUGGGUACCACGCAGUAUUACUUUAAAGGGUCUGCGUUUGCUCACCCAACCUCACCAAACCUCUCAGCCCCAAGAGUGUCCACCCUUAUGUCUCAUCCAGCUGUGGGUCUAGAUAUGGUCAAUCCAGGUUGCAUCACAGCCCCUGAACGAAUUGUGUAAGAAUUUCUCUCUCUUUCACUGUCUUUGUUUCAUGGGUUUUUAAAAGUAAUUUAUUUUUAUAAUGGGGUUUAGCUGCUUUUCACUGCUGUGUUUAUGCCGCUUUACACCCACUUGACACACUAACAGAGAGAUAUCAAUACAUAGGUUUUAAGAUUAUUACUAGUCAGAUAUAUUCUUGUGCGGUGAAUAGGGCGUGUUGAGUCCAGUUCUCUGAGCAAGGAGUAGGUCUUGUCUAUUACAUAUUGGGUUUAUGGAACGGUAUCUGAGCUAAUUUGAAACCCUUGUUUUAUGUAUCACCCCACCUCACCUUUCCCGUUAAGCAGCCAUAGUGUGUUUUCUGCAUGUGUGACUCUGUUCUGUUUUGUAAUUCAGUUCAAGUGUAACGGUUUUUACAUUCCCUCUAUAAGUGAUACCUUAUGAGAAGUGUCCUUUUCUGUGUGACUUAUUUCACUUAGAAUCGUCGUACCUAAAUCCACUCAUCAUGCUGCUACUAGCCUUAUGACAUUGAUUUCAUGGCUGAGUGAUAUUCCAUUGUACAUAAGGACCACAACUUCUUUAUCCAUUUUUCUCUUUCCUGGGAUAUUUAAGGUGGAAUGAAGUGGAGGUCCUUGUCAACAGAGUAGCCCUAAACUUUGGGGUGCCUG